AUGGCUGAAGCUUUGGCGUUAAAAUUUGGCAUAUCUCUUGCGCAAAGGACGGGUUGUAAUGACAUAAUUAUUAACUCGGAUAAUAUGGAGGUGAUCGAGACCACGAACGAAGGAGUACGAUCGUCGGGGGCAGCAGCUGCAAUUUUUGAUGAUUGUUUUCACUUAGCUUGUGAUUAUCCUAUUUCUAGAUUCUAGCAUUGUAAUAGAGAAGCAAAUAAAGUUGCUCAUGAACUUGCCAAGUUGGCUAGAUUUUCAUUCAUUUCUGAUUGGCUUGAGGAACCACAUAAUGCAAUUGUACCAAUCCUCAUAAAUGAUGUAAUGAUUAUUUCUAAUGAAUAA
rnacentral:rRNA from 1 species